GAUGAACGCUGGCGGCGUGCUUAACACAUGCAAGUCGAACGGAAAGGCCAGUGCUUGCACUGGUGCUCGAGUGGCGAACGGGUGAGUAACACGUGGGUGAUCUGCCCUGCACUUUGGGAUAAGCCUGGGAAACUGGGUCUAAUACCAGAUAGGACCAUGCUUUGGAUGGUGUGGUGGAAAGUUUUUUCGGUGUGGGAUGAGCUUGCGGCCUAUCAGCUUGUUGGUGGGGUAAUGGCCUACCAAGGCGUCGACGGGUAGCCGGCCUGAGAGGGUGUACGGCCACAUUGGGACUGAGAGACGGCCCAGACUCCUACGGGAGGCAGCAGUGGGGAAUAUUGCACAAUGGGCGCAAGCCUGAUGCAGCGACGCCGCGUGGGGGAUGACGGCCUUCGGGUUGUAAACUCCUUUCGCAACUGACGAAGCUUUUUGUGACGGUAGGUGGAGAAGAAGCACCGGCUAACUACGUG
rnacentral:rRNA from 1 species